UACGGGGGGGGGCAAGCGUUGUUCGGAAUUACUGGGCGUAAAGGGCGCGUAGGCGGUUCGUUAAGUCCUGUGUGAAAUCCCCCGGCUCAACUGGGGGAACUGCACAGGAAACUAGCGGGCUUGAGUUCGGGAGAGGGAAGCGGAAUUCCGGGGUGUAGCGGUGAAAUGCGUAGAUAUCCGGAGGAACACCGGUGGCGAAGGCGGCUUCCUGGACCGACACUGACGCUGAGGCGCGAAAGCUAGGGGAGCAAACGGG
rnacentral:rRNA from 1 species